CUAUAUAAUCAGAGGAACUUCUUAUUACACACUGUGUAUACCCACUAUCCAAAAUCCAGAUAGUGAAGAUAUAGACUAGAGAGAGUACGUGCCUCUUAUGUCAGAUAAUAUAUCAGUUCCGCUCUCAUUCAAAAGGACUAGCUACAGUUUAACAUGUUCGGUAAAUAAUGUAUUUAUACGAAUAUGUAGGUAUCUGUGUGCUUUUAAAAUUCACGGAUUGGGUAACUUGCACGUAGCUUAGCUCUCGGCCACGUCAUGCGUAUGUGUAAGUUAAUUAAUUAAAUCUGUCACUCGGGCAGAGAUAUCUUCUGAGUUCUGCUGAGUGCUGCAUCUUCAUAAGCAAGUUGACAGCGUCAGCCGUCGCCUGUCGCCGUAAGCCACUCCACUGACAGGAAGGAAAGGAUAAACGCGGUUGGCUAUCAUAUUCGUCUGACUUUCUCAGUAUUUACCAUCAGUAGGAAGGAAGAGUGAGGGAGAAGCAGUGUAGAAGAUUGCAGAGCUGCCUGGUGAUCACGAUGGCCAGCGUGUGUGGUGAUAAACGCCGAGCCCAUAGAAGGCCAGUGAAGUCUCCAACAUGCGUCAGGGGCAGCAACAGGCGUGGCAAGGGAGCAAUGAGUAUAAACCUGGAAACCAAUUUCUUUCCUAUAUUACCUUCAAGGAAAAAUAUUAGAGUGAAGGUUUAUGAAGUGGAGUUUCACUCAUUUGGAAACAGAGCCAUAUAUACAAGGAAGCAAAAACUGGAGACAUUUGAAUUGAUGAAGAAGGCACACCCUAGAGUGUUUGACUCUCAUCAUCCUGUUGUCUUUGACUCAGACAAGAAAGCUUACAGUGUAGAUGUUAUUUCUGAUGUGGCAAACAGUGAGCAGCAGUCAGCAUCUUAUGUGGUCUCCAAAAUGAAUGCAAACUCUCAUGAGAAGUGGAGGGUCACCAUAACACUGAAGGAAGAGUUGUGUCUGGAAGACCUUCUGGAGAUUCUCUAUUCCACUCCAGGGCAACAUAGUUUUCCUCCGAAGAUUAUUCAGUUCCUUGAAGUAAUGUUUCACCAUUCUCGUGCCCUUAAAUACAAAUUGGUUGGGCACCGCCACUUCUACUCAUUUGAUGGUGAAUCUGGAACAGUUUACCCCAUUGGACCCAACAAGGAGGGUGCCAUUGGCUUCUUUGACUCUGUGAGGCCGUCAUCAUGGAAGAAUGGCUCACUCUUGCUGAACAUUGAUGUUUCACAUGCAGCUUUUUACAAAGAACAAAGUCUUCUUGACUUUGUGAAUGGUGUCAUGAGUCUACAGGAGUCAGACCUCCACAAAACAUUGGAUCCACACAAAAAGAGAAGACUGAUGCAGGAAAUGAAGGACCUCAAAAUUUGUGUGACUUUUUCCCAUGUUUCCCAUGUGUACAAGAUCAUAUCCAUCACUGAGAGAGGUGCCAACAGACAAACAUUCCCUUGUAAAGAUCAAAAGACUGGUUUGACAAAAUACAUCACCGUGGUGGAUUACUUCAAGUAUGUUCAUGGCAAAAACCUUUAUUUUCCCAACUUCAACUGUGUCCAGGUUGCUCCAUCUGAAAAGAACAUAUUUCUGCCAAUGGAGUUUUGCAGAAUUGCUAGUGCACAAAAAGUUAAGAAAUUGGCUGACCAGGAGAUAGCCCAUUUUUUAAGGGUAGCAGCUGUUGCUCCUGCAGAGAGGAGAAAGCAAAUAUGUAAACUAUAUGACCAAAAUAAUUUCUCUGAAGAUUCAAUGCUGAAGAGCCUUGGACUUACCAUUGAGAAGAAUCCAUUAAAAAUAGCUGGGCGUGUGUUGCCGCCUCCUUUACUGCACCUGAGUCACAUGGUGGAGCCUCAUGAUGGGAUGUGGGAUGUGAGGGGCUGCAGGUUCUUCCAAGGAGCUCUCAUAAGGAGUUGGAUAGUUGUUAAUUAUAACACAGAACGGGUUAGCUUAUCACACAUCAGAACCUUCAUUGAACAUCUACUGAGGCUGGGCAAAGGGUAUGGUAUGGAGUUUAAUGAUCCAAUGACCAUACAAGAUAUGCCAAGAGCUCGUAUUGAGGAACAUUUUAUCUACUUUAAAAGGAUGUUCCCAGAUUUGCAGCUGAUCAUAGUUGUCUUGGAUAAGAAUGAUGAAUUAUAUGGUCGUCUUAAAAAAAUAGGAGAUAUAGACAUUGGUGUCAUCACCCAGUGUCUUCAGGCAUCAACUGUGAGGCUUUGUAAAGAGUCAACAAUGUUUGGUGUACUAUUGAAGAUUAAUGCUAAAAUGGGAGGGAUAAACAAUGUCAUAGCAAAUCCCUCAAGCCCAGCGAUUUUCAACCAUUCAGUAAUGAUUAUGGGUGCUGACGUCAAUCACCCGUCAGCUGGGGAUGGUAUUUCUCCUUCAAUGGCAGCCUGUGUUGCCUCUCUAGACAGGCACGCAUCAAUGUAUGCUGUGGAAGUGAUGCCACAAGAUCAUCGGGUGGAAAUUAUUCAAGAUUUAAAGCAGAUGGUUAAGAAUCUGAUAAUGUCUCAUAGAAAGGUGCAAAGAAGGUGGCCCGACAAAAUAGUGAUGUAUCGUGAUGGAGUGAGUGAAUCGGAGUUCAUCACUGUGUUGCUGCACGAGGUGAAGUCCAUACGGCAGGCUUGUGCUGAGGUGAAUCAGGAUUACAAGCCAGAUUCUUUUGUCAUAAAGAUGAAGGGGUUGGAAGAUGCAGGAAUAUUCCCCCUGGAACAGUAGUGGACACUAGCAUCACCCAUCCCAGUGAGAGAGACUUCUAUUUAUGUUCACAUCAAGGAAUACAAGGUACAACAAGACCUACACAUUACCAUGUGUUGUGGGAUGACAACAAUAUGGCAAUGGAUGAACUAGAAACACUCACAUACAGCAUGUGUCAUCUGUAUUCCCGAUGCAACAAAGCCGUGUCUCUACCAA
rnacentral:misc_RNA from 1 species